rnacentral:rRNA from 1 species
CGGGGGGAGCAAGCGUUGUUCGGAUUUACUGGGCGUAAAGGGCGCGUAGGCGGCGCAACAAGUCACUUGUGAAAUCUCCGGGCUUAACCCGGAGCGGCCAAGUGAUACUGUCGUGCUAGAGUGCGGAAGGGGCUACUGGAAUUCUCGGUGUAGCGGUGAAAUGCGUAGAUAUCGAGAGGAACACCUGCGGCGAAGGCGGGUAGCUGGGCCGACACUGACGCUGAUGCGCGAAAGCCAGGGGAGCGAACGGGAUUAGAUACCCCGGUAGUCCUGGCCUUAAACGAUGGAUACUUGGUGUCCGGGGUUACAUAGUCCCCGGGUGCCGUCGCUAACGCUUUAAGCAUUCCGCCUGGGGAGUACGGUCGCAAGACUG